AACUUACAUAUUACCCAGGCUGGAUGGACGCAAGCCUUUAAAGUAUGAAUGCAAAAGUAUUGAAAACCUCGCCCGGAUUGGAACUUUAGAGAACUAAAAAAAAACAUGAAAUUGGGAGAGUCUUCCAAACACGCGGAUGUGUGCCUUUGAUGGAAACGGUUUAUUGCGCGGAUUCUAAUUACACCUCGUAAAAUGGUACCCGUUUUUCGGUCGCGAUGUCGAGAUGCCGCCGAGAUAUGAAGCGUGCGAAUUUGCGAAUUGCGAUGGCGAGAAAUCACCCGAUCGCGCACGAAUCGCACAGCUCAUUCGCCUCCUCCAACACGAACCAAUGUCCCAAUGUCCAGCGUCAUCUAUCGGCGAGAUUUAGUACUACUCAGAACCGCUGCAUCUUUUACUGUCAACCGAAGCUCUACGCAAGGUGGAUGCAAUCCGAGAUCAGACACACAUGGACACACGAGGACAAUUGCAGUAAGUAUUGCCUGAUUUUGUAUCUCUGAUGUUUGUUCAAUAAAAUGAAUAAAUACAAAAAUGCACUUGCCUAU